rnacentral:rRNA from 1 species
AUGCUUAACACAUGCAAGUCGAACGGAAACGACACUAACAAUCCUUCGGGUGCGUUAAUGGGCGUCGAGCGGCGGACGGGUGAGUAAUGCCUAGGAAAUUGCCUUGAUGUGGGGGAUAACCAUUGGAAACGAUGGCUAAUACCGCAUAAUGCCUACGGGCCAAAGAGGGGGAUCUUCGGACCUCUCGCGUCAAGAUAUGCCUAGGUGGGAUUAGCUAGUUGGUGAGGUAAUGGCUCACCAAGGCGACGAUCCCUAGCUGGUCUGAGAGGAUGAUCAGCCACACUGGAACUGAGACACGGUCCAGACUCCUACGGGAGGCAGCAGUGGGGAAUAUUGCACAAUGGGCGCAAGCCUGAUGCAGCCAUGCCGCGUGUAUGAAGAAGGCCUUCGGGUUGUAAAGUACUUUCAGUUGUGAGGAAGGGUGUGUAGUUAAUAGCUGCGCAUCUUGACGUUAGCAACAGAAGAAGCACCGGCUAACUCCGUGCCAGCAGCCGCGGUAAUACGGAGGGUGCGAGCGUUAAUCGGAAUUACUGGGCGUAAAGCGCAUGCAGGUGGUUCAUUAAGUCAGAUGUGAAAGCCCGGGGCUCAACCUCGGAACUGCAUUUGAAACUGGUGAACUAGAGUGCUGUAGAGGGGGGUAGAAUUUCAGGUGUAGCGGUGAAAUGCGUAGAGAUCUGAAGGAACACCAGUGG